UACGUAGGUGACAAGCGUUGUCCGGAUUUACUGGGCGUAAAGAGCGCGCAGGCGGUCGUUCAAGUCGAGUGUGAAAGCCCCCGGCUCAACUGGGGAGGGUCAUUCGAUACUGAUCGACUCGAAGGCAGGAGAGGGUAGUGGAAUUCCCGGUGUAGUGGUGAAAUGCGUAGAUAUCGGGAGGAACACCAGUGGCGAAGGCGACUACCUGGCCUGUUCUUGACGCUGAGGCGCGAAAGCUAGGGGAGCAAACGGGAGUA
rnacentral:rRNA from 1 species